rnacentral:rRNA from 1 species
UACGUAGGGUGCAAGCGUUAAUCGGAAUUACUGGGCGUAAAGCGUGCGCAGGCGGUCUUGCAAGACAGAUGUGAAAUCCCCGGGCUCAACCUGGGAACUGCAUUUGUGACUGCAAGGCUGGAGUGCGGCAGAGGGGGAUGGAAUUCCGCGUGUAGCAGUGAAAUGCGUAGAUAUGCGGAGGAACAUCAGUUGCGAAGGCGGCUCUCUGGACCAGCACUGACACUGAGGCACGAAAGCGUGGGGAGCAAACAGG